CAGAUGGGGCUUGGGUGCUCUGGGACUUGAGGGCUCCUGAGGUUUGGGAAAGGGAACAUUCCAGUGAUGGGCGGGGCCAGAGAGAGUUGGGAUCCAGUGGAGUUCAGGGCUUCGUUUGUCUCCCUCUUUGUUUCUUUGCCUCCUUAGCCUUUAAAAAGGCUAUAUAGGACCAACUCCCCACUGUCUACAAGUCUUCUUGGCCUACCUUCAUUGUUUUAUCUCAUUCGUGAAUAAUUUUGAGAACCUGCUAUGUGACAAAUGCUCUGUUGGGUGCUGUGAAGACGAUCCCAGUUCCCAGGUGAUUCUGAUGUGCAGUCAGUGUUGAGAACAGCUACCUCCAAGGCAUGUGUCUGGUGUUGGGAUGCUGCAGAAGUGCUAAUCUCAGAAGUUACACUCCGAUCCCUGAACCGACCAAUGUGGCCAGGAGGAUGGGUGACUUAAGCCAACUGUUGGGCUGAAUCUGGCAGGCCUGCAAGCCUUGUAAUUGCCCACCCUCGAGACUGAAGACAGAGCCCAGAAACAGCAACAGAGACCUCAAUGGUUAACAGACAGGGGAGCUUAUACACGUCUGAAACAAAGACAUUGAUGCGGCGUCCAAGUCGUGUUCUUGCAGAAAAGAACACGACUGUCGUGUGAAAGAAACAUCUCCAGAGCGUCCCCGAGAGCCGCCCCGAGACUCAGAGCCUGAACUCCUGGACGUGCUUCCUGAUCCCAAGAUUUGCCGGACCUGCGGUGAUUGACAAGGCUUUUUCCCUGGGAGCCUCAGCUGCCAUGUGCACCCACGGAGGCAGCAUCUGUGUGAGCAGCCGGUCCGUCUUCUGCUUCUCCAGCUCCAGUUCCUCCGUGCGCUCGCGGAUCAGGUCCUCCAGGUUACUGGAGUACUGCUCCAGCAUCCGCAGCAUCGAGUCAAUGAUGUUCAUCUUCCGGCCCUUGUUGAUGCUCUUGAACUAGGAGGAGGAGGAAGCUGGUGGGGCUGCCGUGCCACUCUCAUGGGGCUGUAUUAGGCCUGAUCCUCUGCUCACCCCCCCCGGCAUCUGGUACUCAUCGAGCCUGCGCCACCCCGCGCGGGGCGCUGUGUUUUCACACAUUAUUAGGAGGUCAGCUGUUCUGUUAGGAAGUGACAAGGCAGUGGAACCAGCCCAGUCUUUGGACUCCCAGGCCAGGGGUCUUCCUCCCACACUAGGCCAAACACAUACUCAAGAAAUGUUAUUUGAAUUCAAUUAAAUAUUUCUCCCACCCAGAGCUCCAUCUCCCACUCCGAAGGCCUCCGCAGCCCCCAUUCUAACUCUGCUCCCCCCAAACCCUUAAUCCUCAGGCUACCCCUUAGGAAGUAGCCUGGAAGUUAAGAGAUCCUGCCAGCCUGCCUUCCUGCAGCCCCCCUCCUCCACCCCAAGCUGCUGGCAAGUGGCCAGCCCAGCCGUUGCCCAGCCCAGCCCCUGACCAGGUCAAAGGUGCGGUCCAUGGAGGGCCGAAGUUCCGGCUGCUCCGCCCAGCACUGUUUCAUCAGCCGGAUGCACUCCAUGGGCGCCUGGUCUAUGGACACCGAGGGCCGACACAGUGGAGGGGGGCUCUGUACCCUCUUCACCACUUCUGGAGGCAUGAAGCGGAAAGAGGGGGGGUGUGGCAGAACAGAUGCCACCUCUGACUCUGGCCUGACAGUUGAAGUUCAAGAGGCGGGGACUGGAAGGGGAGGCUACAGUAUGUGGGGAAGUGUAGUGUGAGAGGUGGUUGCUGGGAGCAACAGGAGGACCCUGAACCCUGGGGGGCAGGGGGCAGUAAGAGGUGACACGCAAAGAGACUGCCAUUUAUUGCACAUAAGAAAAGUGAGGGUUAGAGAGAUCAAGUAGUUUACUAUGUCCUAUAGAUGGUAACGUGGGUCUGAACCAGGUCCACCUGCUCUCUUCCCCCCUUCCCCCUAUCGUGCUGCCUCCCUGGGGCCCCUAAGGACCAGAGAGGAGCUUGCUACCAGCCUUGCGGGAGCAGGCUGGGUUCAGGAUCGGGCCAGAGGAAACCACUGAAGUCUGGGCGCUGGAAGGCCGCCCCCUCCCAUCCUGAAGCUUGACUCUCCACUGCCCUGACCCUUCAGAGCCCAGCUUUAGGGAGGCCCACAGAAGUAAGUCUCAGCACCGAGCGAGGCUGGGUCUCUGCCUAACAGCAGGGUGUCUUUCCGGCCCAAAGGCCAGGCGAGGGGCGGCCGUACCCUCGGGAGCCAGCUCCAGCAUGGCGUAGGGGGCGCUGCGGCACACGACCUCUUGCAUGAUGAUGCCCAGGCUGAAGACGUCGCCGGCCAGCGUGCCCCGGCGCUCCAGGGCCGGGUCCCGAAGCAGCUCCGGGGCUGUCCAUAGCUGGUCUGGGGUCGGGGAAGGGGGCGUGGGCACGCGGAGGGCCACGGGGGCGCUGGGGACAGAUCCCCCCACCCUCACCAGAAAGCCCAGGCUCGCACCGGCUCCACCCCCCGGCCUGAGUCUGGCGCCGCUGCCCGCAGGUAUCCGCAGGAGAAACUACCAGAAACCCAAAGCCGGGCCCUCGCAAGUAGGCCCCGCCCUUCAAGCAGACAAAGCGGUGCCCAGAGAAGACUGGGUCCCUUGGGCACAAGGCGCCGCCCUUAGGCGAAGCCCGGCUAGAAGCAGACCCCCGGCGAGGGCAGGAGCUCCGCCCCCCAGGCACAAGUCCCGCCCCUUAACAAGUCCCCGCCUCCCCAGUCACGGAGCCCACCCUCCUCAGCUCCGGUCACCAGACCUUUUCCGUGGCGUCCGGUGGAUGUGGGAUGGAGAGAGUGCGAGGGAAGGAGGAAAGGAGAGGCCUUUGAAAAGAUGGGGAUGCGGGGGCUGCUCGUCCGCCCGGGAGGCAGUCAGGAAUCCUACCCUCCGCGCUGGGAGGCUCCGGUAACACCCUCUGCGCUUCCAGCAGUCGCCCAUGACCGUGGUCGGUGACUUUAAGCACGAACCUCCCGUCCACCACGCAGUUCCGUGACUUCAGCCGCCCAUGGGCCACGCCUCGGUGGUGCAGAUACCUUAUUCCCUGGGAAGGGUGGCGUCAAGGGCAGCCUCAGCCCACGCGGUUCCCCUGCAGGCUCCUCCCAGGCGCAUCCCACCCGGUCCCACCCCCACACGCACACCUUGAUGAGGUCCAGUAGGAGGGAGGACUUGAACAUCCAGUCCAGCUUUAUGUCUCUCUGGGCGAGAAGGUCGUGGAGGGAGCCGCGGGCACAGUGCUCUGAGACGACAGCCAGCAUGCCUUCCCCGGGGGCCGCGGUGCUGCCAGUUCCCCCCGCCAGGAAGAGCCCCAGGUAGAGGGCCACGUUCUCAUGCCGGAGCUCCCGGAUCUGGGGGCGGGGUGGGGGGGGGGGCGGGCAGGAAAUUAACAGGCAUUUGCUGUUGUGGGAGCGAGGUGGGGAGGAGGCUUGUUAUUCAGAUCUGCUUUUGCUCGGAAGAUGGAAUUAAAAAUGGUGAUUGGAAAGGUCUAUAGGGCAUGUAAGGGGCUUCCUUCUACAGAUAACUUCUCUUUCUGGAAAAGACAACUUAGUCAAAGGCCACCGUUCAGACGCUGAACAUGGUUUAACUUAAAGGUAUGAAUGAAAAGACAACUUUGCUCUGGUAAUCAGGACCCAGGCAAGUUCUGAUUUAUUAACCAUAAGACAUUGAACUUCCUGGGUCUUAAGAGAAAACACCUCAUGAAGGAGAAGCUCCUGGUACCCACCCCCCACUUCUGAUACAACAGCCUCUUGGGGGAGAAUCGGGCAGACCAGAAAUGGCUUGUGCUUGUGGACUCAGCCCAGGGCAGCUUUACUUGGUCACAUCCCUGUGCCAGAUACGUCUGAGCCCUCCCCCCACCCCACCCCCACCAAGUUAGGGAAGGACUGAGCAGUGAAGCUGUAUCCCAGAGGAGCCAACGGCAAGGCCACACCCCCUCAGCAGGACAGAGGACCUCACAGUCUGGCUGGGAAAAUGGGGGCUUGUGGGUGACUGGUGCCCUUUUCAGCUUUCCUUUGGUCCAAUAAAGGGGCUUCUUUUCAUCUUG